GAUGAACGCUAGCGGCAGGCCUAAUACAUGCAAGUCGAGGGGUAUGGGUUGCUUGCAACCCAGAGACCGGCGCACGGGUGCGUAACGCGUAUGCAAUCUACCUUAAUCAGGGGGAUAGCCCGGAGAAAUCCGGAUUAACACCGCAUAACAUUGAGUUGUGGCAUCACAGUUCAAUCAAAUAUUUAUAGGAUUAAGAUGAGCAUGCGUGACAUUAGUUAGUUGGUGAGGUAACGGCUCACCAAGACCACGAUGUCUAGGGGAUCUGAGAGGAUGACCCCCCACACUGGUACUGAGACACGGACCAGACUCCUACGGGAGGCAGCAGUAAGGAAUAUUGGUCAAUGGGCGCAAGCCUGAACCAGCCAGGCCGCGUGCAGGAAGACGGCCCUAUGGGUUGUAAACUGCUUUUGUACCGGAAUAAACCUUCUCGUGCGAGAGAAGCUGAACGUACGGUAAGAAUAAGGAUCGGCUAACUCCGU
rnacentral:rRNA from 1 species